rnacentral:rRNA from 1 species
GAUGAACGCUGGCGGCGUGCCUAAUACAUGCAAGUAGAACGCUGAAGCUUGGUGCUUGCACCGAGCGGAUGGGUUGCGAACGGGUGAGUAACGCGUAGGUAACCUGCCUCUUAGCGGGGGAUAACUAUUGGAAACGAUAGCUAAUACCGCAUAAAAGUCGAUAUCGCAUGAUAUUGAUUUGAAAGGUGCAAAUGCAUCACUAAGAGAUGGACCUGCGUUGUAUUAGCUAGUUGGUGAGGUAACGGCUCACCAAGGCGACGAUACAUAGCCGACCUGAGAGGGUGAUCGGCCACACUGGGACUGAGACACGGCCCAGACUCCUACGGGAGGCAGCAGUAGGGAAUCUUCGGCAAUGGGGGCAACCCUGACCGAGCAACGCCGCGUGAGUGAAGAAGGUUUUCGGAUCGUAAAGCUCUGUUGUAAGAGAAGAACGAGUGUGAGAGUGGAAAGUUCACACUGUGACGGUAACUUACCAGAAAGGGACGGCUAACUACGUG